rnacentral:rRNA from 1 species
CCUACGGGUGGCUGCAGUCGAGAAUAAUUCACAAUGGGGGAAACCCUGAUGGAGCGAAGCCGCGUGGGGGAAUGAAGGUCUUCGGAUUGUAAACCCCUGUCAUGUGGGAGCAAAGUAAAAAGAUAGUACCACAAGAGGAAGAGACGACUAACACUGUGCCAGCAGCCGCGGUAAUACAGAGGGCGCAAGCGUUGUUCGGAACAACGGGGCGUCAAGCGUGCGGAGGCAGUGUCGUACGUCGUGGGUGAAAGUCGCGGGCUCAACCCGCGGACGGCACCUGAUACUGCGAGUCUAGAGUAAUGGAGGGGGCACCGGAAUUCUCGGUGUAGCCGUGAAAUGCGUAGCUAUC